rnacentral:rRNA from 1 species
AUGCACGCUGGCGGCGUGCCUAAUACCUGCAAGUCGCGCGAACAGACGAGGAGCUUGCUCCUCUGACGUUAGCGGCGGACGGGUGAGUAACACGUGGAUAACCUACCUAUAAGACUGGGAUAACUUCGGGAAACCGGAGCUAAUACCGGAUAAUAUAUUGAACCGCAUGGUUCAAUAGUGAAAGACGGUUUUGCUGUCACUUAUAGAUGGUUCCGCGCCGCAUUAGCUAGUUGGUAAGGUAACGGCUUACCAAGGCAACGAUGCGUAGCCGACCUGAGAGGGUGAUCGGCCACACUGGAACUGAGACACGGUCCAGACUCCUACGGGAGGCAGCAGUAGGGAAUCUUCCGCAAUGGGCGAAAGCCUGACGGAGCAACGCCGCGUGAGUGAUGAAGGUCUUCGGAUCGUAAAACUCUGUUAUUAGGGAAGAACAAAUGUGUAAGUAACUAUGCACGUCUUGACGGUACCUAAUCAGAAAGCCACGGCUAACUACGUG